UACGUAGGGUGCAAGCGUUAAUCGGAAUUACUGGGCGUAAAGCGUGCGCAGGCGGUGAGCUGUGUCCGAUGUGAAAGCCCCGGGCUUAACCUGGGAAUGGCAUUGGAAACUGGCUCGCUGGAGUGUGGCAGAGGGGGGUGGAAUUCCACGUGUAGCAGUGAAAUGCGUAGAGAUGUGGAGGAACACCGAUGGCGAAGGCAGCCCCCUGGGUUAACACUGACGCUCAGGCACGAAAGCGUGGGGAGCAAACAGG
rnacentral:rRNA from 1 species